GGAGCAUCUGAGACUUGGGAAAAUUCAAGAUAUGUGCUCAUCGAUCUCGAUCCUGCAACUAGAAGAUCUCGCGAGACCACGGUGGUUUCUAGAAAAAGGAUGAAGCUUUACCAUGAAAGCUUGACUUGGGAGUGAAUCCUGGAUCUGAGUAAUGGUCGGUUUCUACUCCAUUUUGGGCUCAAGACAACAAUAAUUUUUAAGAAGAGAAGCCCAAAUUAGACCAAAUAGAUCUCGUCGUCACAUCAUCCUCAUCAUUCCUUCCUUUAUCCCGACAACGAGUUCACCACAACCUCAACUAGAGCUCACCGGAAUCAGAGGCUAUCACAGCACUUCGUUACCGUAAAGUUUGGAAUCAAGAUCCACGGUUUGGAGCCAGAAGAGAGAUGAAGACGACCAUGAUUCGAACUUCGUUGAUGUCAUUGGUUUCGGAACGGUGACGUCGUCCUUCUCCGGUAAGAGAAACAGAGGCGGUUAUGGGUUGUUUCUUGGGCUAAUCAGGUAUUGGAGAAAUGGGUCAAUCUUGUUUCAGCGAUCUCCGUCGUUAACCAUCGCCGGAGAACAGAAACUUCGGUGGUUUUUAGAUAAAGGAAGAAGCUUUCUUAUGAAAGACCCACCAAAGUUCAAAACUUCACCGUCUGCAACCACAAAUUAGUUGGUUCGUGCUGCUUAAAUCAUUAUGCCGAGGAUAUUGAAACCACAAGAAGGCUCGGCGGUUCGUGCUCCAUCAGUGACAACGUCUUAAAGCUCCAUCAAGAGUAAGAAGCUUGAGCUUGACAUCACAAAUAUGGCUCUGGUCUUGACUUGGAAGUAUGAGACAUGCUUUACCUGCAUCUCUUAACGUCGACGGCAGCUUCAAGCUCUGUUCAAGCUCCAGAAUGAUGGGGAUGCGAUUCUCUUCGUCGUAGCUCGUAUGUCAGCUUCAACUCGUCGCACCACCGCUUCAACCUGAGAUCAAUUAUAUAAUCAGCUCAGACUCGUGACCCUGACCCUGGAAGUAAUGGCAAUGACUCGAUCAGUGACAACAAGAACAUUGAAUGUGUCAUAUGUGGAGAUAGAGACUAAAAGUGGUGUCUUUGCUCUCAGCAGGCUCUCCAUCUCUUCCCCGGCUCUGUUACAACUCCUAAAAACAGAGCGUCUUCAACUUCUACACCAAGAUUAACACAAGAAGACACUACAUCUUCAUCAAAGUUGCCGACAAAGAAAGAUAAGUUUCAAAACUUAUGAUUAUCACAUUGAAUAAUCAUCAUCGGCCUCUUAUGAUUCCACCAUGUCUUGUAACUUGUUUAGAAAGUUAUUUGUCUAGCUUUUAUACACAUAUCAAACAUUACGAGAUACACACAUGUUCCACGCUUUGACCAUAUUAUUUUUAUGGUCACAUGAGAAGAAGGAGACAAGCUUUCUUCGCACAUUACAUCAUGAAGCCACGUGAUGAUCUUGGCAACGACUUGAUCUCAGCGACCCGUUAUCAUGAUGAGAAGGAGACGCCAACCAUGGUCAUGUCUUUGUGAGCCAGAAUCAACUACGAUUGUCAAGCCAAAAAGAAAAUUAGAGCCGCGACGUAGACGUGCGAUCUAAUUGGAUCAAUCUCUUGUCAUCACUCCAAGAAUGACAGGCUCAGAUUCUCAUAACGAGCUUACCGCAACCGAGACGUGGCGAUGGUUGAUCUCUCAGCUACAGAAAAUGGCUUCCGUUUUUGAGAAAACUGAACCUUCAUGACAAGCUCUCAGACCAGAGUUCUUCACAAGCAUCAAGAGAUCAUUGUAAACCAGCCACCUCGCCACAAAUACGUCUGGAAGCUCGAGACAAAGCCUUCUCAGCAUAUUUAUGAUCUAUGCAAUCAUGUGACCCGCACCAAGAAUGACGAACUCAAAUUCUCUCAACGAGCUUGCCGUAACCGGCACAAGCUCUAGACGAACCCAUUUUAAGCUCGGCUUGGAUAAGAGAUAACUACACCAUCUCAGUGAGGUCUCUUUUCGAUCCAUGGCUGUCCAUCUCGAGACUUCACUUCUCGGCUUGAGCUUUACGUUCAGACUGGUUCUGUGGUUCAUCGUAAUCUCGGCAUCAUGGUGAUGUUAGACGUCAUCACCAACCAAAUCUUGAAGUUCACUUCUCGACCUCAGCAUCACACGAUCACCUCUGUCAUGCUAUCAUCUUGAAGUUCGACGUCAUCACCAACCAAAUCUGGAUAACACUGAGAGAAAAAGCUCUCACGCUCUCUUUUAUGGUCUUGGUGUAAUCUCGGCAAGUACGCGAUCUCGGCAAAAGCGGGGAGCAGUUGGCGUGACCUCCUCAAAACGCCGAUCUUGAGAUCAUGUUCGUCAUCCUCGUAGCUGUUUUCAUGACAGAAAAAUAAGUCUGACGAGAUAAGUCUUCUCAUCUAAUUAGUUAAUUGUUUACGUCAUAUAUCACCGCUUUAUACUUUGUGACAGAACAAAUAUAUUCACUUAGUAUCUUGUUAAUAAGGUUGAUAUUAAACGUGAUCUCCCAUAUUCAUAAUUGACAUGUUUGCUUGUGCCUCACGGCACCCAUUUUCAAUACAAGAUAUAAUUAAUUAAAUUUAGUUUUCUAUGUAUAGUAGAAUGGAGCCAGCACAAAAGGUCGUGACUUAUCUUCUAUGCUGUAUGCGUGGAAUGCGAGUCAAGCACUCCUUCCCUUACACUAACGGAGCAUAGAAGAUGAAGAAUAUGAGACCCUCUUUGCAGUUCACUCCUUCCCUUACGGUUCUCACGACUCUUGACUUCAUCGUCGCCAAUCACGAGCUCAUCACCGGACCUCGCAACUCACACCACGUUUCUCUUGACAGCAACGUUAUCAUAGCCUGACGAGUCGUACACACCAACAACUUGCUCAGCACACACGAUCUCAACACGAGACUUCGGGUCGGCAAUAGUUCGAAAUCGAUUUCAUCUCUUUCUACGAACUUGGAGGGCUUACUGUUGGGGGUGGAUUUACAUCUUCUUCGAGACCCAUUAGACAUUGAACUAGGUUCAUAUUGCUAGGAAGCCCUAGGCUUCAUCUUUCUAUAAAUAAGGAGUUACCUUCUUAUAAGAAAUGAUCUUCUCCUCUUCUUAGACUUAACAUAUUUUCAUAGAGAUUUUGUAUUCUAAGGUUCACUUUACCCUUGUAAUCAUCUUGGUGAUGAACCUUCAAUCAAUGAAAUCUCUUUUAUAUUCUUUUUCCCA